GACGAACGCUGGCGGCGUGCUUAACACAUGCAAGUCGAACGGAAAGGCCCCUUUGGGGGUACUCGAGUGGCGAACGGGUGAGUAACACGUGAGUAACCUGCCCUUGACUUCGGGAUAACUUCAGGAAACUGGGGCUAAUACCGGAUAGGAAUCCUUGCUGCAUGGUGGGGGUUGGAAAGCUUCGGCGGUUUUGGAUGGACUCGCGGCUUAUCAGCUUGUUGGUGGGGUAGUGGCUUACCAAGGCUUUGACGGGUAGCCGGCCUGAGGGGGCGACCGGCCACCAUGGGGCCGAGGAACGGGCCAAGCUCCUUCGGGGGGGCAGAGGGGGGGAUUAUGGAACAAUGGGGGGAAGCCGGUGGAGGCAAGGCGCCGGGCGGAUGACGGCCUUCGGGUUGUAAACCGCUUUCAGCAGGGGCGAAGCUUGUGGUGACGGUACCUGCAGAAGAAGCACCGGCUAACUACGUG
rnacentral:rRNA from 1 species